GACGAACGCUGGCGGCGUGCUUAACACAUGCCAGUCGAACGGAAAGGCCCUGCUUUUGUGGGGUGCUCGAGUGGCGAACGGGUGAGUAACACGUGAGUAACCUGCCCUUGACUUUGGGAUAACUUCAGGAAACUGGGGCUAAUACCGGAUAGGAGCUCCUGCUGCUUGGUGGGGGUUGGAAAGUUUCGGCGGUUGGGGAUGGACUCGCGGCUUAUCAGCUUGUUGGUGGGGUAGUGGCUUACCAAGGCUUUGACGGGUAGCCGGCCUGAGGGGGUGACCGGCCACAUUGGGACUGAGAUACGGCCCAGACUACUACGGGAGGCAGCAGUGGGGAAUAUUGCACAAUGGGCGGAAGCCUGAUGCAGCAACGCCGCGUGCGGGAUGACGGCCUUCGGGUUGUAAACCGCUUUCGCCUGUGACGAAGCGUGAGUGACGGUAAUGGGUAAAGAAGCACCGGCUAACUACGUG
rnacentral:rRNA from 1 species